GCAACUUUUUUUUUUUUUUGAGAUGGAGUCUCUCUCUGUUGCCCAGGCUGAAGUGAGUGGCGCAAUCUCGGCUCACUGCAACCUCUGCCUCCUGUAUUCAAGCAGUUCUCCUGCCUCAGCAUCCCAAGUAGCUGAGACUAUAGGCACCCACCACCGGGCCUGGCUAAUUUUUUCUAUUUUUAUUAGAGACCGGGUUUCACCAUGUUAGCCAGGAUGGUCUCAAUCUCCUGACCUCGUAAUCUGCCCACCUUGGCCUCCCAAAGUGCUGGGAUUACAGGCAUGAGCCACCACGCCUGGUCAUGACCUUCCAUUUUAAAGCACCUGAUCCUUUUUCGGACAAUGUCUGGCCCAUGCCCUCGUUGGUGUCCAGUGUUCUCUUCCCCUGGGUUGAGGUGCUUGCCUCUGCUCUUUCUUCUUGCCCUCCCUCAUCUGUUUCCUUCCCCCUGGAAACAGUAUUGCUGCUUCCCAUCUGAGUUUGCUUAUGCAAUCAAGACUCAGCAUAUUCCAUGGUGCAUUCUUUUCUCUCCCUCUCUUUCCCCUCUGUUCAUCUAUUUCUUUCUAAGCAAUUCAAAUGACAACCUCUUCCUACAAUGGCGGCCUCUCUGUUCCCUUCCACAUACCAAAAAAUUAAAAGAGGAAGAAGGACGAGGAGGAGGAGGAGGACAAGAAAGGAAAGCACAGGUGACAUGACUCCUGGGUCUCUCUCACUUAACCCUCAACUUCCAAACAGGAUGUAAGUACCAUGGUGAAUAUCUCUCUAGACAAAUUAGUUUUGUUGGCACUUUUCAAAUUGUUGUCUUUAUGUUCACAUAUCAUUCUUAUUGGACAGGAGCCCAGCAGGAAACAUUUGGCCCACUCAAAAUUCUGAAGAGAAUUUAAUAAAGGGACUAUUUACACAAUUGUGGACAAGGUUAAGGAAACCAAGAAAGGAUGCUGAGGUGACCAGGGUCUAGCCACAGCAGGAAGCUGAAGGAUCAAGAGAAGCAAAAAUAUAUUUCUUAAAAGCAGUAGUAUCUUUUCAACAGAUGAUGUUGGGACCACUGGAU
rnacentral:lncRNA from 1 species